GGGGAAUAUUGCGCAAUGGGCGAAAGCCUGACGCAGCGACGCCGCGUGGGGGAUGACGGCCUUCGGGUUGUAAACCUCUUUCAGCAGGGACGAAGUUGACGUGUACCUGCAGAAGAAGCGCCGGCUAACUACGUGCCAGCAGCCGCGGUAAUACGUAGGGCGCAAGCGUUGUCCGGAAUUAUUGGGCGUAAAGAGCUCGUAGGUGGCUUGUCACGUCGGGUGUGAAAGCUUGGGGCUUAACUCCAGGUCUGCAUUCGAUACGGGCUGGCUAGAGGUAGGUAGGGGAGAACGGAAUUCCUGGUGUAGCGGUGAAAUGCGCAGAUAUCAGGAGGAACACCGGUGGCGAAGGCGGUUCUCUGGGCCUUACCUGACGCUGAGGAGCGAAAGCGUGGGGAGCGAAC
rnacentral:rRNA from 1 species